GACGAACGCUGGCGGCGUGCUUAACACAUGCAAGUCGAACGGAAAGGCCCUGCUUUUGUGGGGUGCUCGAGUGGCGAACGGGGGAGUAACACGUGAGUAACCUGCCCUUGACUUUGGGAUAACUUCAGGAAACUGGGGCUAAUACCGGAUAGGAGCUCCUGCUGCAUGGUGGGGGUUGGAAAGUUUCGGCGGUUGGGGAUGGACUCGCGGCUUAUCAGCUUGUUGGUGGGGUAGUGGCUUACCAAGGCUUUGACGGGUAGCCGGCCUGAGAGGGUGACCGGCCACAUUGGGACUGAGAUGCGGCCCAGACUCCUACGGGAGGCAGCAGUGGGGAAUAUUGCACAAUGGGCGGAAGCCUGAUGCAGCAACGCCGCGUGCGGGAUGACGGCCUUCGGGUUGUAAACCGCUUUCGCCUGUGACGAAGCGUGAGUGACGGUAAUGGGUAAAGAAGCACCGGCUAACUACGUG
rnacentral:rRNA from 1 species